GACGAACGCUGGCGGCGUGCUUAACACAUGCAAGUCGAACGGAAAGGCCCUGCUUUUGUGGGGUGCUCGAGUGGCGAAAGGUUGAGUAACACGUGAGUAACCUGCCCUUUACUUUGGGAUAACUUCAGGAAACUGGGGCUAAUACCGGAUAUGAGCUCCUUCUGCAUGGUGGGGGUUGUAAAGUUUCGGCGGUUGGGGAUUGACUCGCGGGUUAUCAGCUUGUUGGUGGGGUAGUGGUUUACCAAGCCUUUGACGGGUAGCCGGCCUGAGAGGGUGACCGGCCACAUUGGGACUGAGAUACGGCCCAGAAUCCUACGGGAGGCAGCAGUGGGGAAUAUUGCACAAUGGGCGGAAGCCUGAUGCAGCAACGCCGCGUGCGGGAUGACGGCCUUCGAGUUGUAAACCGCUUUCGCCUGUGAAGAAGAAUGAGUGACGGUAAUGGGUAAAGAAACACAGGCUAAAUAAGUG
rnacentral:rRNA from 1 species